rnacentral:ncRNA from 1 species
GUUUUUCAGGAGAGAGUCUUGGGCAUGAUAUUAAGUGCGCUUAUAUUUACGAGCGGCGCUAAUCACUGCUUGAUGACCACCGAAGGCGCAUACACCCUGCCAAUCGCUCAGGUAAAAGGACUGAAAA